GCCUAAAGCGUCCGUAGCCGGCUCUGUAAGUUUUCGGUUAAAUCCAUAUGCUCAACAUAUGGGCCGCCGGGAAUACUGCAUAGCUAGGGAGUGGGAGAGGUAGACGGUACUCCGUAGGAAGGGGUAAAAUCCUUUGAUCUAUGGAUGACCACCUGUGGCGAAGGCGGUCUACCAGAACACGUUCGACGGUGAGGGAUGAAAGCUGGGGGAGCAAACCGGAUUAGAUACCCGGGUAGUCCCAGCUGUAAACUAUGCAAACUCAGUGAUGCAUUGGCUUGUGGCCAGUGCAGUGCCGCAGAGAAGUCGUUAAGUUUGCCGCCUGGGAAGUACGUACGCAAGUAUGAAACUUAAAGGAAUUGGCGGGGGAGCACCACAAGGGGUGAAGCCUGCGGUUUAAUUGGAGUCAACGCCAGAAAUCUUACCCGGAGAGACAGCAGGAUGAAGGUCAAGCUGAAGACUUUACCAGACAAGCUGAGAAGUGGUGCAUGGCCGUCGCCAGCUCGUGCCGUGAGAUGUCCUGUUAAGUCAGGUAACGAGCGAGAUCCUUGCCUCUAGUUGCCACCAUUACUCUCAGGAGUAGUGGGGCGAAUUAGCGGGACUGCCGUAGUUAAUACGGAGGAAGGAGAGGGCCACGGCAGGUCAGUAUGCCCCGAA
rnacentral:rRNA from 1 species